rnacentral:misc_RNA from 1 species
ACAAACUUGGUCAUUUAGAGGAAGUAAAAGUCGUAACAAGGUUUCCGUAGGUGAACCUGCGGAAGGAUCAUUAACGAGUUUUAAACAAAGAUGGGUGAGGUUGUAGCUGGUUUCUUCUCAUACAGGGGAGAGACAUGUGCACGCUUUGCUUGUUUUUCUACCUCUCACACCAUUGUGCACUUUCUCAUGGGCUGGACUUGGAGCUCUUGUCGCAAGACAAGCGUGUCUCGGUCCUGUCUAUGUGCUUUUGAGUUUACAAACAUUUAGUCAGUUUUGGAAUGUAAUUGUUUGUGCAACAAAUUUGCAUACUCUGAAUACAACUUUCAGCAACGGAUCUCUUGGCUCUCGCAUCGAUGAAGAACGCAGC